GUGUUUGCUUUGGCAGCACAUAUGCUAAAAUUGGAACAAUACAGAGAAGAUUUGCAUAGACUGCUCAAGGAUGACACACAAAUUCAUGAAGCAUUCCAUAUUUGG